UACACUCCUGCGGGAGGCAGCAGUGGGGAAUAUUGGACAAUGGGCGCAAGCCUGAUCCAGCCAUGCCGCGUGAGUGAUGAAGGCCCUAGGGUUGUAAAGCUCUUUCACCGGUGAAGAUAAUGACGGUAACCGGAGAAGAAGCCCCGGCUAACUUCGUGCCAGCAGCCGCGGUAAUACGAAGGGGGCUAGCGUUGUUCGGAUUUACUGGGCGUAAAGCGCACGUAGGCGGACUAUUAAGUCAGGGGUGAAAUCCCGGGGCUCAACCCCGGAACUGCCUUUGAUACUGGUAGUCUUGAGUUCGGGAGAGGUGAGUGGAAUUCCGAGUGUAGAGGUGAAAUUCGUAGAUAUUCGGAGGAACACCAGUGGCGAAGGCGGCUCACUGGCUCGAUACUGACGCUGAGGUGCGAAAGCGUGGGGAGCAAACAGGAUUAGAAACCCCGGUAGUCCCAU
rnacentral:rRNA from 1 species